rnacentral:rRNA from 1 species
UCUCAGUUCGGAUCGCAGUCUGCAACUCGACUGCGUGAAGCUGGAAUCGCUAGUAAUCGCGGAUCAGCAUGCCGCGGUGAAUACGUUCCCGGGCCUUGUACACACCGCCCGUCACACCACGAGAGUUUGUAACACCCGAAGUCGGUGAGGUAACCUUUUGGAGCCAGCCGCCGAAGGUGGGACAGAUGAUUGGGGUGAAGUCGUAACAAGGUAGCCGUAUCGGAAGGUGCGGCUGGAUCACCUCCUUUCUAAGGA